AUACGAACGAGAUCUAUCCUGCUAACAUCUGCUUUUUGCGGAAUUAGAAGGUAAGACUCGACGACACACAUUCGUCGGAAUUCGUUAUAUGUACUCGUUACGUAUACGCGUUUUCUACGAUAUAAUCGUGUCGUUUGUCUGCCUGUCCUCUGUGAGGCGAGAGUGCGCACACUGAUAGUUGUCUUAUACUUCCUGCUCCGUGGGCGUUUUCGCGCGUGCGUCUUCGCUCAUGCGCGCGCGCGUUUGUGUGUGUGUGUGGUGAGCCUAUACGGUGUGACUGCGUGCGCGCGCUCUCUCUCUCGCGUGUGUGUUGUGGGUGUUCGUGUGUUUGCGUUUGCGUGUUGGCACGGGGGUUUGACGCAUACAGUUGUUUCUCUAGCCCGGAGGAACGAAAUAUUUUCUUAGAGGUAUCGACGACUCUUUAGAGUCGUAAGAAAGAGAGAGCAAUAACAGGUCUGUGAUGCCCUCAGAUGCCCCGGGCUGCGCGCGAGUUACAAUGCCGGGUCUAAUGGGUGUUGACUCCUUUUAAGAGUAUACUCCUUCUCCGAGAGGAGCGGGUAAUCCCUAAAACCCUUUCAACGCGGCGUAUACGUUACGCUUAACGGCGUACGAGUAUGCGUUUUAAGUGGCUCGAAUGGGCCUGGGGCUUGCUAAAGUAUUUCCCGUGAACGAGGAAUGCCUCGUACUGGCCCAUCACCCAUCCGUCCGGAUUGAGUCCCUGCCCUUUGUACACCCCGCCCGUCGCUACUACCGAUUGAGCGUACCGGUGAGAAUCUGGGAGUAGAGCAAAGUUUUUUUUAGCUUGCGCUAGACCAAGAGAUUCCAACCGGGCACUUAGAGGAAGUAAAA
rnacentral:rRNA from 1 species